AUCAAAAGUACCUGACACAGACGUGACAGAUUUUUUAAAAUCGCCUAUCCACUUAACCCAAUCACUCAAACCGCCCACGAACUGCCUUCAGUACUCCCAUUUGUUUCCUUGGUCUUCAUUUCUCUACAGCAAGUCGGUUGAGUUGCUCUUCAUUUCUCUGCAACAAAUCGAUCGAGAAGAUUUUAAUUUUGCAAGGGGGUCUUCAGGAGGGUUGAAGAGGGAAAUUUUUUGUAGAUUUCCAAACUAUACUUCAAGUGGAAAAGAAGGUCUUUAAUCGGAGUUCAAAGAGUGGACGAUUUUUCAAUCUAUCCAAGUGUACUUUGAGGGUAGGAAGAAGCGAAAUUUGGAUAGCGAUAACAUGGUGAUCAAUCCAAAGAAGGACAAUGCUGCCGCAUGGCGGAACUUCUUGUAAUAUUCGGUUCUAUUUCUGUUUUUAUGCAUUGCUUUUAAUGGACAUACGUAUGCUGUAAAAUUAAAUUUAACUUUAUAAUUCACUUUUAUUUAUGCCGCAAAGCACAGUAUAAAGAUUAUCGGGCUACACACAAAGAGAAGACAGAUAGAGAGGCAAAGGAUAAUUUGCUUAAAGAAUUUAAGGCAACGUCAUUCAUGGAGAAGGCACGGUGGAAAAGGGAUGAUCCGUACAGGAGGAAAAGGUCAGUAGAAAGGAUAUUUGUCCUAAGGAGAAGAAGCUGAAAGCUCGGGAGGAGAAAGAUAAACACUCUGAAGUGGAUGAGGAGGAGGGUACGUUGGAGGGGGAUGAGUUACAUCGAGUUUCUGGAAGAUUCUCAUUUGAAAGGGUGUCGCGCAUUGUAAAUUCGAUAAGCAUAGAGCAUAAGGAUGUUGCUCUCAAUGCCGAUUUCAGCACAUUCCUAAGGGAGGAGGGCCCUUACAUUGCACAAAGAUAGUCAGUUAUCUCAUUGAGCAUAUUGACCCUACAACAAGCAGACUAGAUUUUUUUGGCAGAUCCAUCCACUUGUGUGCUCGGCUGUUCUCCAAUGUUUGGCUGUAAAUGAUGGUGAGGAACCUAUGGUAAUGGAGAGUGAAAAAGACAUUCAGAGGUGGAGGAGUUGUUGGGGGCGGGAAGGUACACGAUAUCACUGACUUCUUUGGAGAAAGACUUGAAAGAGUCCACCGAAGCUAAAGCCCUCUUUCUGAAGGUUUGCACUAGUUGCCAUCGGGUCUGUUCUAUGCUCGAAGAGCGUCACUGACGUAAGCAUCGGUUACCUUCACUCUUUGAUAGAGACCAGUGGCAUUUAAAAAAAUAAUUGGGCGUCUGUGGGGAUUCGAUACCUAAUGAACUCACUAGAUAGGCAUCAGACUCACCAUACAAAGAAUGUUGGUGGCUACAUAAUUUUCUUGCAGCUUGUAUAUUUGACACAUGUGGACUGGAGUAACGGUUUUGUAGACUGCACGGGUGCUCCAACCGACUUUUGGAAUGCCAAGCAAUGCAAGGCCAUCUACCGUUGGAUCCGUGACCACGAUGGUCAUUUGAGUGAUUCGAGAUCAAGUUGACAAAGACUCAUGUUCUCCUUCCAAGUGUUGCACCAGAAACCUAUGGAAAAGCUACAAAUGAGGAAGUAAUGCAAGCAAUGGCCAAGGUGAAGGAUGAGGUCAGCCGUGUCGACAUAAAGGUCAUGCACGCUCAGGAGAUUUUUAUGAAGGGAAUGAGUUUUUUAGGAAGUGUGUUACAAAGUACUUUGGGAGAGAAGUUGUGGAGGAAGGAGUUAGAGAGAAGGAAGCUUCCAUUGAGAAGAAGGAAGGUUAUAAAGUGUCUCCUGUUCAACAGACUUUAUCUUUUAAACGAGUCUUCUAAACCUAUUGAUUUGGAUAGUGAGAAACACAAGCUAUCUGGAGUGAAGGGGUGUCCGGAGCUGUUAGGGAAGUUUUGGGUGAUCUUGGUAGAGAUAUAGCAAAUAUUGUACCAUCGUUUGAUGAUUCUGAUAAAAUAAUGGAGGAAAAUAUGGAAGAGGGGAAAGUGGAAAAGGGUAUAGUGGCAGAGGAUGAUUUUCUUAAUGUUGUGAGUUUUUGCCAAAAAUAAAAACAACCCAUAAGGAAGAAAAAGUGGAAGAAGUGGAGGAGGUUGUGAAAGAUGAUUUUGAUUUGGAGUCUUUUGAGACAUUUAAGGAGUUGAGAAGAAUUGUGGUUGGGCCAUUUAAUGUGAAGAAUAGAAUGACCAAUCAGAUGUUCAAGUUUUUCCGCUUCAUAUUUUCAAGAAUCUUGGACCAGAGCUAUAUGUUAGCGAAGUUUGGAAAAGUUUAGGUGAGCAAAUAUGUGAUGGGGAACUUGAGGCCAGAGGGCCAAGUCACUAAAAGUGUUAUUGAUUGUAAUGCACAAAUCCUGAACUUUGAAGAAAGGAAGAAGGAAGGUCCAAGUCGAGUGUGGUUCAUGCCAACAUAAUAAGGAAUAGCUAGGUGCCUCGAUGAGUGUGGAAAGGAUGACGAGGGAACAAGAGUGGUUGAAGUUUUACUACGAUGAAGAUUUUAAGGCAUGCAAGAAGGAAUUUUCAAUCUGAAGUAUUAUUUCCUAAUUUUAGUAUCAUGUAACACAAGUAUAUUUGCAUUUGAUUCGUUUGAAUAUGUAUGUAUUGCAUAAGCUUGUCCCACUUUUCCAAACUUUAGGUGGCCACCAUUGGUUCCUAGCCCACAUCAAUAUGCAAACAGUGACUAUAAAUUUGAUGGACUCUUUGUCAAGUGCGAUGCACAAGGCCUCUCGACGUCGAGUUCGCACUAAAAUGCUUAAGACUGAAUUAGUUAUUUGCUCUGUCCAAACCCAAAAAUAUAAAAUUUGAGAAUUGCUUUAUUGCCAUGGGGAAGGGGAACUUGCCCCAUCAACAGAAUGGGGUUGAUUGUGGGGUGUACUUGAUGAAGUACAUGGAAUCUAUCUUUUUGGGCAGGGAGCAUGUGGAUGAGUUUCACCUAGAGGAUGUAUGAUUAGAGUUAGCUACUAGGAUUGUUAGCCAUGCAAACAAUAAGUAUCGCCUGGGUGUGCAACAUUGCUACAGCAAGGAAUGAGCUGAAAUCUUUGGGUCAUCGUCAGCCAUACUAAGUGCACCGGCAGCCGUAAAAAGUCCACCAAAGUAUCCAGUAGAUAAGCGUUUUACUACAUCAUAGUCUUGGUCGAAGAACAUGUGGACGGGGUCCAAGACCUCGUCAAACUUCAAGGAGGCUUCAAUUGACUCAGAAGUGAUUAUCAUAGAUUUACUUUGCAAUUAGUCGUUAUUUAGCAAACAACUACAUAAUUUUUUUAGAUUACUAAGUUUAUUUUAUUUCUCUUGUAUUUUGGAACAAUUAAGUACAUCAUUUAGACGUCUUAAAUACUCAGGAACAACUAAUUUUCCUUUCAAA